rnacentral:misc_RNA from 1 species
GUGGGAGCGAGCCUGCUCGCGAUGGCGUCGUGUCAGUCAAACUAUUCGGUGACUGGCACUCUGCAAUCGCGAGCAGGCUCGCUCCUAC